ACGAACGCUGGCGGCGUGCUUAACACAUGCCAGUCGAACGGAAAGGCCCUGCUUUUGUGGGGUGCUCGAGUGGCGAACGGGUGAGUAACACGUGAGUAACCUGCCCUUGACUUUGGGAUAACUUCAGGAAACUGGGGCUAAUACCGGAUAGGAGCUCCUGCUGCAUGGUGGGGGUUGGAAAGUUUCGGCGGUUGGGGAUGGACUCGCGGCUUAUCAGCUUGUUGGUGGGGUAGUGGCUUACCAAGGCUUUGACGGGUAGCCGGCCUGAGAGGGUGACCGGCCCCAUAGGGGGUGGGAUACGGCCCAGAGUCCUCCGGGGGGGAGGGGUGGGGGAAAUAGCACACAGGGCGGGGGCCUGAAGCAGAGCCGCGGCGUGGGGGAGGAGGGGCUUCGGGGUGUAAAACCCUUUUGCCUGUGACGAAGAGCGGGUGAGGGUAAUGGGGAAAAAAGAACCGGGUAAAACCGC
rnacentral:rRNA from 1 species